CCUACGGGAGGCAGCAGUGGGGAAUAUUGCACAAUGGGGGAAACCCUGAUGCAGCGACGCCGCGUGAGUGAAGAAGUAUUUCGGUAUGUAAAGCUCUAUCUGCAGGGAAGCAAAUGACGGUACGUGAUUAAGAAGCCCCGGCUAACUACGUGCCAGCAGCCGUGGCACUACGCAGGGGGCAAGCGUUAUCCGGAUUUACUGGGUGUAAAGGGAGCGUAGGCGGAAGCAGCAGUCUGGAGUGAAAUGCCGGGGGUUAACCCCGGAAGUGCUGUGGAAACUGUGCAGCUAGAGUGCAGGAGAGGUACGUGGAAUGCGUGGUGUAGCGGUGAAAUGCAUAGAUAUUAGGAAGAACUCCAGUGGCGAAGGCAGCUUACUGGACUGUAACUGACGUUGAGGCACGAAAGCGUGGGGAGCGAACAGGAUUAGAUACCCGAGUAGUC
rnacentral:rRNA from 1 species